CAAGGAACUAGAUUUAAGCUUUGGAGGGAUCGGAAAUUAAGGGACUGUAAGGAGGAUGUGAUUCAUACUAUUCUCCCUCUCCCCCUCCCACACACGACCGUAAGUCUCCCCGCUCGGCCUUCGGGGACGCGGCCCUGAUCUCUCCGCGGCCUGUGUCCCUGUCGCUUGCUCCUGUCGCUCCGGACCACUGUGUCUGGGGCGCCCUCCGCCUGGCUUCUCCUAGCCCCCGGGAGGAGGCGCUGGUGCCCGGGUCGGCCUCCGGUCCCUCCCAGCCGGCGUCCUGGAGCCCCCAUUCACAAAGCUCGGCUUGGAGGAGGCGACACACACACACACACACACACACACACACACACAGCUCGGCUUGGAGGAGGCGACACACACACACACACACACACACACACACACACACACACACACACACAGCGAAGAGGGGAGUUUGAUCUUGUCUCAUUGGCGUCUCGGGCCUGAAAAGGAAAAUCGUUUGGGUAAACAGCCAAGCUUCCAGGCUUAACGCCCGGCUCCCGCCCCCGCCCCUCCGCCCCCUCCCGCCUCCCCCACUCCCCUUCAACCCCACCCGCCACCCACACUCCGCUCCGCAGCCGGGCCCCGAGCGAGCUCCGCGCGCCCGGGCGGGAGCCGAGGGCUCCCCGGGUUCAAAGGGCCGCAGCCCCGAGGGAAUGCCCUCCUCGCUGUGCCCCGGGGGGCAGAAGCGGACUGCAGGGCGGUGGGACCGGCCUGGGCCACGGUGGACAGAAACGGAAAAGUUUAAGAGUUGCACUGACUGGUUUUACAAGUUCAAAUCCUUGGCUCCUCCAGCGUCUGUCGUUUGGGGCCGCGGCUACGAGCGCCCCGGAUUUGAGGCGCGGCGGGAGGACCCCGCAGGUCGCCGGGCGGUGGGACAGGCCCCAGCUGCUGCAGCUCUGAUCGUGCCGAGCAGAGAGGGAGAACUCGGCCGCGCCCUGGGUUUGGUGAUUCUGGAAGGAAGGCGGAGAAAAGUGGAGUCGGCGUGCCCCUCAAGUCCCAUAUUUAGAGCUUUCGCAGGCACCCAAGUGGCCAAUUCCGGCCGCAGAACUGCCUGCCCUGGAGGCUUUGGAAAGGGCGGCCCUCUGUGUGCAGGGCGGCCUCUACCCUCAAAAUAUGCUUCUCCAUCCCUCCUCCUCCCCCAGAACCACAGAACAGGCAUAGUCAGCAGGUUCCAAGUACAACUUUUAAAAACUCGAGUAGAGAUGCAAACGAAGGGGAACUUUCUCUUUACAGAAGGGCCGCCCACAGGGCCCUCAAUCUCGCUCUUUCUCUGUCUCCCACCGUGGACCAAGCCCCCCUGCUGGGCUUUAAAAGCGAGGUUUAGUGCAGUGAAUAUACUACGGGGCCUUUUCUGGCACCCGGAGAAGCGCCUGGAGUGAAAAGGGGCCGGGAGGAUAACCAGAGGAAGAGGGGAGAGUCAGGAAGGCCGAAGAGGGGGACUCUGCCUCCUCCGGGCAUGAGCCGCGCCCGGGCCCAGCGGGGAGGUGGCGCAAUGCGGGUCAGGGUUCGGCUGACACCGACGCCACCGCCGGCCUGCUGAGUGCCCGGGAUUUCCCCUCAACCAGGCCCGAGAGGGAUUCCAGGCUCCUCGGGUGGAAUGUGGGAGGUCUUGGGGGUAAUCCUUCCUGCCGAAUGCAGAGCUGGCAGGAGCCUCCGUAAAAAAACAAAAAAUCAAAAAAACCCCACACCAAUAGCGAAGCGGUCUUGAGGGCUGCCCGCUUUGCCCGCAAUUAGAGGGGUUUUCUCGGACCAUGAGGGGAGGUGAAACCUAUGAAACUCGGACCCCGCCAGGAACCCGCACUGAAUGUCCUUUCUGCAACCACUUCACCAGGAACUCCAGGGGCCGGGACAAGGGUGACGACUCCAAAUCACAGGCUGCCGCUGACCUCUGGUUAUACUGAUGGGUCCUCGUUUCCUACCAUCGCCAGCCCCAGGAGUUAAGGACACGCGAGUAACCUUCCUGUCGCUGUCCCGUUCUCGCCUUACAAAAAAUAAAUAAAUAAAAAAGAGCCCAGCGGAGAAUUGUAGACUAGAGGUCGGAGGCUUCACGGAGCUGGAGAGGAACUCGCGUCUCUAGUUUUUAAAGCAAACAAAGCCGAAAACAGCCUAACGCCUCUGGCUGCCCAUGGGCCAGAGCUCAGUGCGUCUUGGGCAGUGCGGGCGCCGAGCACUCUGCUCCAGGAUCAUCUCGGGCCAAACCCUGGGCUGGGCCCCGCGCGCCUCUGCCUGGCUGGCAUCGAGUUAGGAGACCCUGUUUGCACCCCUCUUUGCAGCUGCUGAGCCUCCUCCGGCCAGGCUGGCCCUGGGGGCGCCGCCCAGGUCAGGGAAGGUGUGGGGCUCAGGUGGAGAACUCAGGGCCACUGGCGGCUGGGCGGCCACGUCCGGAACCCCGUCCCAACGCCUAUCUCGCGCGCUCUGCCCUCUCCAGGAGUAAAGCACUAAAACAUCCCCGGGUCUAGCGAGUGCAGGAUAGGGCGAAGCGGAGCCACCGGAGGCAUCUUCCGGCUGCGUUACCACUGGAGCGGAAAACUGAGCAUUUUCAGCGUUGGAAACGUCCCGUGGCUGCUGGAGGAGGCCCGCCCCGCAGGGUCGGCGAGAAAGUACUCGAAUUCCCACGCUGCCAUCUUGGCCUCUUUUUAAACAACAUCAUGAAACUAAAAACACCAAUCGAGGCAACGCGUUUCUUUCCGUUUUAGUACGACAUAAAUAAAAUGCGCUUUUAAGCCAUCUUACUCUCUAACUUCAAGGGAGCCAAUGUUAAUUUUACCUUUAUUUAAAUGAUUGCCAAGGCUGACUUGUGAGGGAUUCUCCCCCUCCUCCAUCCCUCCCUCCAGAUGUUGGCAUACGGAGUAUAGUAAUAAUUUCCCACUAUCCUGGAAAGCAAGCAGCUCUUUCUGGCCUCGUCCUCCCCCCACAACACCUUACCUCGUUUUUUGUGGAUAUUGUUAAUUUCACGGAACGCUAUUUAAAGUUUAGCAUGAAAUGCACGUGCCACGACACGAAUGGCCAGUGUGCUGUUACCUCCAAGGAACUCCAAGUGCGGCGCACUAGGAACAGACCCGACUUUUCCGUGGGUGCCUCCAGACGAUGCCACAGGAGAUUUAGUGGGCACCAUCUCCUGGUAGGAGGCUCCCUGACCUAAGCGCAGCCAUGUACCCAUGCACGCCCAAGUGGCCACAUUCCCAGGCGGGCUUUGCCACUGGGGACUAAAACUCUGUUCCUCGGAGGCAACAGCUAGAGCGGUGGAAGGAAACGCGAGGAACUUAGGGCGAUCUUUUUCACGCCACGUCCAGUUUUUAGGAUCUCGUGCCAAUUUCUCAGUGUGUUUCUGUCCAGAUAGACUAAGCUCUUUGGAGUUAAUUAACCUGAGGUCCAGCUACAAUUAAUAGAGAGCGAAGAAAAGACGGAAAGAGGGGGACUUUGUAGGAAGAGCGAGGAAUAAAAAAAAAAAA
rnacentral:lncRNA from 1 species